CCAACUGUGUGUGAAACAUGUUUCGUGUGCUGAGGAACGAUCAUAAAUGGCAGAGGACAGAUUCGAGGUGAGGCAGGCAGUUUUCUUGCCUCGUGGCAGGGGGCGCUCAUGAUCCCAGACAUUGUGACUCCACAACUGCAGAAUAAGAGACAGCAAGCAAGGCUAAAGUAAAUAACUGAAGUGCAGCGAUAGAUUUGUUUUCUCCUCUCUUCUGGCGCCAACAUGGCUGACUGCAUUUCUACACGUUAAGUUUUCUAAAGUGGAUUUUCAAUCAAAGCAGGAAAUAAUAAGUAAAAGAAGACCUACAGCACAUCUGAAAGGUUUGGUUCAAACUAUGAGACAAAAGAAUACCCGCUCGUUUCAAACGUAAAGAAAAGACAGGAUUUGUGGAUGUCCUGCUAGAAACUGCCUUUUCUACUUUUCUUCCUUCUUUUCUCAACUUGUGACACUGUGUGAACUCAGGUGGGAUUUUGUGACAUAAACCAAACAUGAGCGGUCGACCACUCAUAUUCAAAACCAGGUCGCACUAAAACUGUUGGGAUCUCGAGGAUAGACUUGGCUUCAGAACGAAUACUUUUGUGCAGAAUGAGCACGGAUUUCAUUUAUGAGUAAAGACCUGAAAAAUGGCCAAGCCUUCACAGCCAGGCCUCAGACCACGUCCACCAGGACGAAGAGAAAUUCAUACAGCAAGGCAGAGUGUGGUAAGCAGUAGAGAUCGACUACAUGGCGGACGGAGGACGGAUAUCAGGACGAAGCCAUGAAGCCGAUACUCCACAGAAUGGGAGUCACAUUUGUGUUAAUCAGACUCUUCAGGAACGUUCUGAUGCCCAUGAUGAGGACAGUAUCUACUAUUUUAGAAUGUUGAUAUUUUAUGCUUCAAUAUUAUGUACAUAAUUUUAUGCUAUGUAUU